rnacentral:tRNA from 1 species
GGGAGCGUGGUAAAAUUGGCAAACACGCAGGAUUUAAGCUCCUGUGACUUAGUGUCUUGAGGGUUCGACUCCCUCCGUUCCUA